UCAGAUGCUGCAGACCCGAAACGAAGUGAUCUAUCCAUGAGCAAGUUGAAGCUAGUGUAAGAACUAGUGGAGGACUGAACCCAUAGGCGUUGAAAAGCCCCGGGAUGACUUGUGGAUAGGGGUGAAAGGCCAAUCAAACUUCGUGAUAGCUGGUUCUCUCCGAAAUAUAUUUAGGUAUAGCGUUGUGUCGUAAUAUAAGGGGGUAGAGCACUGAAUGGGCUAGGGCAUACACCAAUGUACCAAACCCUAUCAAACUCCGAAUACCUUAUAUGUAAUCACAGCAGUCAGGCGGCGAGUGAUAAAAUCCGUCGUCAAGAGGGAAACAACCCAGACUACCAGCUAAGGUCCCUAAAUCUUACUUAAGUGGAAAACGAUGUGAAGUUACUUAAACAACCAGGAGGUUGGCUUAGAAGCAGCCAUCCUUUAAAGAAAGCGUAAUAGCUCACUGGUCUAGUGAUUUUGCGCGGAAAAUAUAACGGGGCUAAAGUAAGUACCGAAGCUGUAGACUUAGUUUACUAAGUGGUAGGAGAGCGUUCUAUUUGCGUCGAAGGUAUACCGGUAAGGAGUGCUGGAGCGAAUAGAAGUGAGCAUGCAGGCAUGAGUAGCGAUAAUUAAUGUGAGAAUCAUUAACGCCGUAAACCCAAGGUUUCCUACGCGAUGCUCGUCAUCGUAGGGUUAGUCGGGUCCUAAGUCGAGUCCGAAAGGGGUAGACGAUGGCAAAUUGGUUAAUAUUCCAAUACCAACAUUAGUGUGCGAUGGAAGGACGCUUAGGGCUAAGGGGGCUAGCGGAUGGAAGUGCUAGUCUAAGGUCGUAGGAGGUUGUACAGGCAAAUCCGUAUAACAAUACUCCGAGAACUGAAAGGCUUUUUGAAGUCUUCGGAUGGAUAGAAGAACCCCUGAUGCCGUCGAGCCAAGAAAAGUUUCUAAGUUUAGCUAAUGUUGCCCGUACCGUAAACCGACACAGGUGGGUGGGAUGAGUAUUCUAAGGCGCGUGGAAGAACUCUCUUUAAGGAACUCUGCAAAAUAGCACCGUAUCUUCGGUAUAAGGUGUGGUUAGCUUUGUAUUAGGAUUUACUCCGAAAGCAAGGAAACUUACAACAAAGAGUCCCUCCCGACUGUUUACCAAAAACACAGCACUCUGCUAACUCGUAAGAGGAUGUAUAGGGUGUGACGCCUGCCCGGUGCUCGAAGGUUAAUUGAUGGGGUUAGCAUUAGCGAAGCUCUUGAUCGAAGCCCGAGUAAACGGCGGCCGUAACUAUAACGGUCCUAAGGUAGCGAAAUUCCUUGUCGGUUAAAUACCGACCUGCAUGAAUGGCGUAACGAGAUGGGAGCUGUCUCAAAGAGGGAUCCAGUGAAAUUGUAGUGGAGGUGAAAAUUCCUCCUACCCGCGGCAAGACGGAAAGACCCCGUGGACCUUUACUACAGCUUGACACUGCUACUUGGAUAAGAAUGUGCAGGAUAGGUGGGAGGCUUUGAGUAUAUGACGCCAGUUGUAUAUGAGCCAUUGUUGAGAUACCACUCUUUCUUAUUUGGGUAGCUAACCAGCUUGAGUUAUCCUCAAGUGGGACAAUGUCUGGUGGGUAGUUUGACUGGGGCGGUCGCCUCCCAAAUAAUAACGGAGGCUUACAAAGGUUGGCUCAGAACGGUUGGAAAUCGUUCGUAGAGUAUAAAGGUAUAAGCCAGCUUAACUGCAAGACAUACAAGUCAAGCAGAGACGAAAGUCGGUCUUAGUGAUCCGGUGGUUCUGUGUGGAAGGGCCAUCGCUCAAAGGAUAAAAGGUACCCCGGGGAUAACAGGCUGAUCUCCCCCAAGAGCUCACAUCGACGGGGAGGUUUGGCACCUCGAUGUCGGCUCAUCGCAUCCUGGGGCUGGAGCAGGUCCCAAGGGUAUGGCUGUUCGCCAUUUAAAGCGGUACGCGAGCUGGGUUCAGAACGUCGUGAGACAGUUCGGUCCCUAUCUGCCGUGGGCGUAAGAAGAUUGAAGAGAUUUGACCCUAGUACGAGAGGACCGGGUUGAACAAACCACUGGUGUAGCUGUUGUUCUGCCAAGAGCAUCGCAGCGUAGCUAAGUUUGGAAAGGAUAAACGCUGAAAGCAUCUAAGCGUGAAGCCAACUCUAAGAUGAAUCUUCUCUAAGCUCUCUAGAAGACUACUAGUUUGAUAGGCUGGGUGUGUAAUGGAUGAAAGUCCUUUAGCUGACCAGUACUAAUAGAGCGUUUGGCUUAUCUUUAAUAAAGCAU
rnacentral:rRNA from 1 species